GAACAAAGCAGGAAUGAACAAGCAUUGAACUAUCUUGCUGUUAAUUCGGAGAUGUAUCUUCCUACUCCAGAUAUGAACGCUAUCAAUCAGGAACAAGGUAGGGAUGAACAAACAUUGAACUCUAUCGCUGCUAGUUCGGAGAUGCGUAUUCCUAGUCCUACUCCCGACAUGAGCACUCUCAAUCUGGAACAAGGAGUUGUUUCGGCGGAAGUUCCAUUGUCACCAAUCGAUCAGCUGG